UACGUAGGGUGCGAGCAUUGUCCGGAAUUACUGGGCAUAAAGAGCUCGUAGGUGGUUUGUCGCGUCGUCUGUGAAAUUCCGGGGCUUAACUUCGGGCGUGCAGGCGAUACGGGCAAUACUUGAGUGCUGUAGGGGAGACUGGAAUUCCUGGUGUAGCGGUGGAAUGCGCAGAUAUCAGGAGGAACACCGAUGGCGAAGGCAGGUCUCUGGGCAGUAACUGACGCUGAGGAGCGAAAGCAUGGGUAGCGAACAGGA
rnacentral:rRNA from 1 species